UUGACUAACAUGCCGUUGGUAACUUUGACUAACAUGCUUUGUAACUUUGACUAACAUGCAUGUUGGAACGUAAAGUAACUUUGACUAACAUGCCGUUGGAACGUCUUAACUUCUGUUUUGAAUGGAAGUUUUUCAUAUAACACAACACCGAGAUAAGUUAUGUUAGUAGACAAGUACAUUUUUAGACCGCUUAAUCGAAAUUUCAAUUAUUUUGGAAUAUUCUCUUAGUUUUUUUAGAAAAAAUCGUUAACAUCACUGUCGUCUUUUGUAUGGUCAUCCCAUUCAACAUUUGGUAAGUGGAAUUAACAUAAACUGAACAAGAUCAUCAGAUAUUGAAGCGGUAAGGUUCCCUGAAAUUAUUUCAGAAAAAUAAAAGUUUAAAAAAAUAUUAUCAAUUAUUGUCUUAGAAUGAGUGGUUAUGCAUGUAGGCUGUAUAAUAAGAAAAAUAGAAUUUAAAACCAUUGAUUCUUAAAAAUAAGAUGCCUCAUUCAAGGUUUGAGCAAGUCAAAGUUAAAAAACUAUUAGACUGCUUUUUCUUAUAUUUAAAAGACUAAUUCAAAUCUAAUUUUAAAAUUUAAGUUAGAUUUAAUCUACAUUAAAACACCACCUUGUUUAGCUUUAGUUGGCGUGUGAGUAGAAACAUAUCCUUCUAAUUCAAGGUUAGUUAAAGAGAGAUCGUUAUCGUACAAGUUAGAUUCAGUAAUCCCAAUGAUAUCAGACAAAUUAUCAAAAGAUGCUAAUAGUAUUUUAAAGUUGUCAGUAUGGUAAGGUAAUGAAGAUAUGUUUAUAUGAAGAUAACUUGAAAAAUUUUGGGACAAUUUAUUGUACAUAGGAAUAUCUACAUAUUUACAGUUAAUUGAAGUGGAAGAUAAGUCAUUAAGGUCCCCAAAAAGUUUUUUUUAAUUUGUAUUUUCAGAUAGAUUUUUUACCCUGUUGAAUUUCAGUGACUUUCCUGCAAGUAUGGUUAACUCAAGAUCUGAAAUGUUAGAGAAUGAAAGAAAUGUUUUUGUACAGAUUAGGCAAUACCAAGUAUUUAAAGUUUUGACUUUUUGAUAUGUUAGCUUGUCAAUUUGAUUGCAUUUUAUGUGUAUCCAUUUGUCACAUAGGUCAAAUUCAAUUGCUGAAUGAUUUUUAGCUACCUCCAUAAUAAACUAUUUAAGUUAAAUAUUUAUAUAGUUUAUGAUUAAGAGUUUAUUAUUGCUUGUUUCUGACUUUAAUUUUGUACACUGUCUGAGCAUUUCAAAACCCAUAGCUGUUUCGGAACUACAAUUUUAUGUAUAGACUUAUUUGUCAAUUAUGCGCAGAACUAUUAGUAAAUUUUGUUAUAUAUUUAAGUGUUGCAAUUAAGUAGCACUAGAUAAAUUUAUUGAAAUCAAUCUAAAAUUGAACAAACUUUUAAUCAAGUUUAUGUGUCUAUCUUUAUUGUAAAUUUAUUGUAAAAGUUUCAGAGUUUAAACUGGUAAUUGUAAAGUUUUAAAAACAAGCUGUUUGUUAAUGAUAGUAAAAAGGAGCUGUAGAAGUUCAAAGGUUUCUUUAAAGUUUGUCAAUACUAAACACAAUUCCUUAGAUAUUUUUUUAAAAAAACCCAUCUGGCUGGCUUGAUGACACCUUAAUUGAUAUAGCACAAAGUCUGGAAUUAGUGCAUUUUUAUUUGUUUUAAUCAGAUGGUUUUUCAGAAAGUUACAGUAUUAUGUAAAUGAUUAAUGUUAGAAAAUUGUAUUUUGUGCUUCAAGUAAUGUGUUCUGAUGUUGUUUCGCAUUUGAAGUGUGUUUAGUUUUAUGGUUCACUCAAUAGUUUAAGUCAAGAUGAUGCAUAGAUUGUUCAUGCACAUGAAAAUGAUUGUGAUCUUUUCCUAAAAGAAAAUGCAACAGCUUUGUGUAGCAGUAUCAACCCAAGUUUAGUUAUAUGAAAGAUAGUGAUAUGCGGCAACAUUACCUGAAAUGUAUUUAGAAUGGUAAAUUAGAAAUGUUUCCUUUUGUUACUGUUAGAAUGUGCCUUUGGUACUAUCAUUGUUGUGAAUGUAUCCUAUUGUUUCUGCUUUUUUUUUUCUUUGUUUUCAUGACUUCUUUGAAUAUUUAAAUUCAAUCAAUAUACGUAAAUAGGUUAUUUUGUUUUUUAUUGUUGGUUUGUUUAUAUACCUUUUGUUUUAGAAAAUAAUUAUAAAGUUCAUUAUUUAUUUUAUUUUUAUAAGUGUCUCAUAAAUGUCUAAAGUUAUAUAAUUAGCUAAUUUAGGUCAACUAUUGCUUGUUCUUUAUUUCGUUAUUGGCAUGAUUUGUUUUGUUCACUUUGAAGUUGUUUAUUUCUUACUGUCAUUAGUAAUUUAUUUUAUCCACUAGGGUUAUUGAAAUAAGAUGUAGUUAAUAGGUACAGUUGUUAAAGUCAGCUCUUUAUUUAUAUACAUUUGUUGCAGUUGCAGUUGCUAUAGCUACUAUUACAACUAACACAACUACUAUUGUACCAAAAGUAGUAUUUAAAAUAUGGAUAUCUUAAUUUUAAUUUUAAUGAGAUAUUCGAUCAAUUUUUUAUAUAAUAUUGUGAAAGUAUAUACUCUUCUGGCAUGUAGAUGACAUGACCAUUUCAACAUUUUUAACAUUCAUAUGAUUCAAAGAUACAAAUUCUUCUGGCAUAUAUUUAGAGUUCAUUAUGUAAAUCAAUUUAUUGACACACACUGAUCAAUGCAUUUAUAAAGUACUUUUCUGGCACAAAAACGGGCUUGUAAUUCCGUGUGGAAAAAUCGAAUUUCUUCCGAAAAUGGCCAAGUUUCAACUAAGUUAAAUUUUUUCAAAACGACUUAAAAACCUUUAAUUAUUUUGUUAUUUAUAUUAUGUAAGGAUAUUUUGAUCUUGUUUUCAAAAUAAAGUUUUAG